AGCUCGCGGUGUCCCCGAGCGCCGGCGGCUGGGAGGAUGGCCUGGGCUGCGGGUGGGGCGCGCGCCCGACGGCCGGGGCUCCCCUCUGAGCGGCCGCGGCUCCUGCACCUCCCCGGGGGGCCGCCCCGUCGAUGCCGCUAAGGCCAAGGACAUAUAGACGGUCUGCCCUCCCCCACUCAAACCGGGAUCAUGACGGUCCCCAAGGAGAUGCCCGAGAAGUGGGCCCGGGCCCAGGCGCCUCCCUCUUGGAGCCGAAAGAAGCCCUCUUGGGGGACAGAAGAAGAAAGGAGGGCGCGGGCUAAUGACCGAGAAUACAAUGAGAAAUUCCAGUAUGCGAGUAACUGCAUCAAGACCUCCAAGUACAAUAUUCUCACCUUCCUGCCUGUCAACCUCUUUGAGCAGUUCCAGGAAGUUGCCAACACUUACUUCCUGUUCCUCCUCAUUCUGCAGUUGAUCCCACAGAUCUCUUCCCUGUCCUGGUUCACCACCAUUGUGCCUUUGGUUCUUGUCCUCACCAUCACAGCUGUUAAAGAUGCCACUGAUGACUAUUUCCGCCACAAGAGUGAUAACCAGGUGAAUAACCGCCAGUCUCAGGUGCUGAUCAAUGGAAUCCUCCAGCAGGAGCAGUGGAUGAAUGUCUGUGUUGGUGAUAUUAUCAAGCUAGAAAAUAACCAGUUUGUGGCGGCGGAUCUCCUCCUCCUUUCCAGCAGUGAGCCCCAUGGGCUGUGUUACAUAGAGACAGCAGAACUUGAUGGAGAGACCAACAUGAAAGUACGUCAGGCGAUUCCAGUCACCUCAGAAUUAGGAGACAUCAGUAAGCUUGCCAAGUUUGAUGGUGAAGUGAUCUGUGAACCUCCCAACAACAAACUGGACAAAUUCAGCGGAACCCUCUACUGGAAGGAAAACAAGUUCCCUCUGAGCAACCAGAACAUGCUGCUGCGGGGCUGUGUGCUGCGAAACACCGAGUGGUGCUUCGGGCUGGUCAUCUUUGCAGGUCCCGACACUAAGCUGAUGCAAAACAGCGGCAGAACAAAGUUCAAAAGAACGAGUAUCGAUCGCCUAAUGAAUACCCUGGUGCUCUGGAUUUUUGGAUUCCUGGUUUGUAUGGGGGUGAUCCUGGCCAUUGGCAAUGCCAUCUGGGAGCACGAGGUGGGGACGCGCUUCCAGGUCUACCUGCCGUGGGAUGAGGCAGUGGACAGUGCCUUCUUCUCUGGCUUCCUCUCCUUCUGGUCCUACAUCAUCAUCCUCAACACCGUUGUGCCCAUUUCACUCUAUGUCAGUCCUGAGUGUGGAGGUCAUCCGUCUGGGCCACAGCUACUUCAUCAACUGGGAUAAGAAGAUGUUCUGCAUGAAGAAGCGGACGCCUGCAGAAGCCCGCACCACCACCCUAAACGAGGAGCUGGGCCAGGUGGAGUACAUCUUCUCUGACAAGACGGGCACCCUCACCCAGAACAUCAUGGUUUUCAACAAGUGCUCCAUCAAUGGCCACAGCUAUGUUGGGUCUGAGGGGCCUAGAAAGGGUCCAUCCUGGCCAGGCACGGUGGCUCACGCCUAUAGUCAUAGCACUUUGGGAGGCUGAGGUGGGAGGAUUGCUUGAGCUCAGGAGUGCAAGACCAGCCUGGGCAACAUAGUGAGACCACAUCCCUACAAAAAAUUUAAAAAUUAGCCAGGUGUGGUGGCAUGUGCCUCUGGUCUCAGCUGGCCAGUGACUCAGGAGGCUGAGAUGGGAGGAUCACUUGAGCCUGGGAGGUCAAGGCUGCAGUGAGCCAUGAUCUUCCACUGCACUCCAGCCUGGGCGACAGAAUGAGGCCCUGUCUCUCGAGAAAAAUCCACACACAAAGAAGAGGUCCAUUCUGUGUCCCAUGUCAAGAAGCAGAUCCUGCCUGGGCACAGUGGCUCACGCCUGUAAUCUCAGCACUUUGGGAGGCUGAGGCAGGUGGACCACCUGAGGUCAAGUGUUUGAGACCAGCCUGGCCAACAUGGUGAAACCCCGUCUCUACUGAAAAUACAAAAAUUAGCUGGGUGUGGUGGCCGGCGCCUGUAAUCCCAGCUACUCGGGGGGCUGAGACAGGAGAAUUGCUUGAACCCAGGAGGUGGAGGUUAUAGUGAGCCGAGUUUGCACCAUUGUACUCCAGCCUGGGCGACAAGAGUGAAAUUCU
rnacentral:sRNA from 1 species